UACGUAGGGUGCAAGCGUUGUCCGGAAUUAUUGGGCGUAAAGAGCUCGUAGGCGGUUUGUCGCGUCUGCUGUGAAAACCCGAGGCUCAACCUCGGGCCUGCAGUGGGUACGGGCAGACUAGAGUGUGGUAGGGGAGACUGGAAUUCCUGGUGUAGCGGUGGAAUGCGCAGAUAUCAGGAGGAACACCGGUGGCGAAGGCGGGUCUCUGGGCCGAUAUUGACGCUGAGGAGCGAAAGCGUGGGGAGCGAACAGG
rnacentral:rRNA from 1 species